rnacentral:rRNA from 1 species
GACGAACGCUGGCGGCGUGCCUAAUACAUGCAAGUUGAGCGCUGAAGGUUGGUACUUGUACCAACUGGAUGAGCAGCGCACGGGUGAGUAACGCGUGGGGAAUCUGCCUUUGAGCGGGGGACAACAUUUGGAAACGAAUGCUAAUACCGCAUAAAAACUUUAAACACAAGUUUUAAGUUUGAAAGAUGCAAUUGCAUCACUCAAAGAUGAUCCCGCGUUGUAUUAGCUAGUUGGUGAGGUAAAGGCUCACCAAGGCGAUGAUACAUAGCCGACCUGAGAGGGUGAUCGGCCACAUUGGGACUGGGACACGGCCCAAACUCCUACGGGAGGCAGCAGUAGGGAAUCUUCGGCAAUGGACGAAAGUCUGACCGAGCAACGCCGCGUGAGUGAAGAAGGUUUUCGGAUCGUAAAACUCUGUUGGUAGAGAAGAACGUUGGUGAGAGUGGAAAGCUCAUCAAGUGACGGUAACUACCCAGAAAGGGACGGCUAACUACGUG